GACGAACGCUGGCGGCGUGCUUAACACUUGCAAUUCGAACGGAAAGGCCCUGCUUUUGUGGGGUGCUCGUGUGGCGAACGGGUGAGUAACACGUGAGUAACCUGCCCUUUACUUUGGGAUAACUUCAGGAAACUGGGGCUAAUUCCGGAUAGGAGCUCCUGCUGCAUGGUGGGGGUUGGAAAGUUUCGGCGGUUGGGGAUGGACUCGCGGCUUAUCAGCUUGUUGUUGGGGUAGUGGCUUACCAAGGCUUUGACGGGUAGCCGGCAUGCGAGGGUGACCGGCGACAUUGGGACUGAGAUACGGACCAGACUCCUACGGGAGGCAGCAGUGGGGAAUAUUGCACAAUGGGCGGAAGCCUGAGGCAGAAACGCCGCGUGCGGGAUGACGGCCUUCGGGUUGUAAACCGCUUUCGCCUGUGACGAAGCGUGAGUGACGGUAAUGAGUAAAGAAGCACCGGCUAACUACGUG
rnacentral:rRNA from 1 species